UUAUUUAAGUAAACUUGUCAUUAGAAAUUAUUAAAAUUGAAAUAAGAAAAAUAGUUUAAAAUAAAAGUAUUAAGUAGAGUGUAACGAAAGAUUAAAACGGCUAAAGAGUAAUAGUACUGUAAAGGAAAGUAAAAGAAAACAAAGAUAGUAAGAGUUAAAGUCUGUACCUUGUGUAUCAGGGAAAAUCUAUAUAAUCCAGUUAUAGUGGGUUUCCCGAAAUAAAAACAGCUAAUUUUUUACAAAAAUCGUUGUAAAAUCAAGGUUUUGAAUUUAAAAUUAAAGAUGAAACGUCAAUCGAGUUUUAUUAUAUCUGGUUUUUCGAGAAAGAGAUUCAAUCUUAUUCUUGCGGAGAUACUACGCAAUAAAUAAAUACAGGAGGGACGAGCUUCUUGUAGGGGUACGAGAACAGUUAUGUAAAAAGUAAGAGUUUAAAUUAGGCUUAAAAGUAGUCAUAUUAGUAAAGUGUUCUAACUAAACUUAAAUCAAUAAAAUAUUUGUUAUAACUUUCAGAAAUAUCGAAAACUUAAUCUUAAUAAUAAAGAGUAAGAUGUCAUGAUUUUAUUAGUAAAAAUUUAAUGUGAGUAAACAAUAGUAAAAUGAUUGUAUAAAUAUAAUAAAACUAUGGUAUUAUAAAGGAACUCGGCAAAUAAUUUCUUUGCCUGUUUAACAAAAACAUGUCUGUUUGAAGGUAUAAGCAGUCUAGCCUGCCCACUGAUAUUUAUUAAAGGGCCGCGGUAUUCUGACCGUGCAAAGGUAGCAUAAUCGUUAGUUUCUUAAUUGGGAUCUUGUAUGAAUGGUUGGACAAGAGAAAAUCUGUCUUUAUAAUUGUUAUUGAACUUAACUUUUGAGUGAAAAGGCUCAAAUAAAUUAGAGGGACGAUAAGACCCUAUAAAGCUUAAUACUAGGAAGCAUUAAGCCCAAUUUUAAGAUUAUAAAGGUUUAUUGUGUACUUUUUAUUAUAUUGGGGCGAUAGAAGUAAAAUGAUUAGUAACUGCUUCAUUUUUAGACAAAGAUAAGUGAAUAAAGAAGAGUAAAGGAUCCUUUAUAAAGAUUAUAAGAGCAAGUUACUUUAGGGAUAACAGCGUUAUUUUUUUUGAGAGUUCUUAUCGAAAAAAAAGUUUGCGACCUCGAUGUUGAAUUAAAAUUUCUUUACAAUUGCAGCAGUUGUAAGAGAAGGUCUGUUCGACCUUUAAAUUUUUACAUGAUUUGAGUUCAGACCGGCGUGAGCCAGGUUGGUUUCUAUCUUUUAAAUAAAAAAGGGGGUAUUUUAGUACGAAAGGAUUAAGUAGCCGAAAUAAUUUUAUAAAUGGUA
rnacentral:rRNA from 1 species